UUGGCGGGACCGCUCGGUCUCGAGCCGCUGGGGAUUCGUCCCAGGCGAGCGCCCGCCAGAGUUAAACCAAACUCUUGUUAUUUAACCGGUCGUCUGAGUUAAAAUUUUGAAUAAAUCAAAACUUUCAACAACGGAUCUCUUGGUUCUCGCAUCGAUGAAGAACGCAGCGAAAUGCGAUAAGUAAUGUGAAUUGCAGAAUUCAGUGAAUCAUCGAAUCUUUGAACGCACAUUGCGCCCCUUGGUAUUCCGAGGGGCAUGCCUGUUCGAGCGUCAUUA
rnacentral:rRNA from 1 species